rnacentral:rRNA from 1 species
GACGAACGCUGGCGGCGUGCCUAAUACAUGCAAGUAGAACGCUGAAGAGAGGAGCUUACUCUUCUUGGAUGAGUUGCGAACGGGUGAGUAACGCGUAGGUAACCUGCCUUGUAGCGGGGGAUAACUAUUGGAAACGAUAGCUAAUACCGCAUAACAAUGGAUGACACAUGUCAUUUAUUUGAAAGGGGCAAUUGCUCCACUACAAGAUGGACCUGCGUUGUAUUAGCUAGUAGGUGAGGUAAUGGCUCACCUAGGCGACGAUACAUAGCCGACCUGAGAGGCGGGUCGCCGACACGGGAGCGGGACCGGGGCCCGGGGGCCUGGGGGAGGAGCCAGAGGGGAACCUCCGGCAGUGGGGCAACCCUGACCGAGCAACGCCGCGUGAGUGAAGAAGGUUUUCGGAUCGUAAAGCUCUGUUGUAAGUCAAGAACGGGUGUGAGAGUGGAAAGUUCACACUGUGACGGUAGCUUACCAGAAAGGGACGGCUAACUACGUG